rnacentral:rRNA from 1 species
CCUACGGGUGGCAGCAGUGAGGAAUAUUGGUCAAUGGGCUUACGCCUGAACCAGCCAAGUCGCGUGAGGGAAGACUGCCCUAUGGGUUGUAAACCUCUUUUGUCAGGGAGCAACGCCGGCUACGUGUAGCCGGACUGAGAGUACCUGAAGAAAAAGCAUCGGCUAACUCCGUGCCAGCAGCCGCGGUAAUACGGAGGAUGCGAGCGUUAUCCGGAUUUCUUGGGUUUAAAGGGUGCGUAGGCGGAAGGCCAAGUCAGCGGUAAAAUCGCGGGGCUCAACCUCGCUCCGCCGUUGAAACUGGCAGUCGUGAGUACAGUAGAGGUGGGCGGAAUGCGUGGUGUAGCGGUGAAAUGCUUAGAUAUCACGAAGAACUCCGAUUGCGAAGGCAGUUCACUGGACUGCAACUGACACUGAGGCUCGAAAGUGUGGGUAUCAAACAGGAUUAGAUACCCCAGUAGUC